rnacentral:rRNA from 1 species
UGCGUAGGCGGAAUAAUAAGUCAGUGGUGAAAUCUUGCAGCUUAACUGUAAAAUUGCCAUUGAUACUGUUGUUCUUGAAUAUAGUUGAGGUAGGCGGAAUGUGUAAUGUAGCGGUGAAAUGCUUAGAUAUUACACAGAACACCAAUUGCGUAGGCAGCUUACUAAGCUAUUAUUGACGCUCAGGCACGAAAGCGUGGGGAGCGAACAGGAUUAGAUACCCUGGUAGUCC